CGGGGCGUAGCGCAGCCUGGUAGCGCGCCUGGUUCGGGACCAGGAGGCCGAAGGUUCGAAUCCUUUCGCCCCGACCA
rnacentral:tRNA from 1 species